AUCCAGACGACGAGUCCCAAAUAGGACGAAACGCGCGUUCUGGAU
rnacentral:hammerhead_ribozyme from 1 species